rnacentral:rRNA from 1 species
UUUUAUUUGAGAGUUUGAUCCUGGCUCAGGAUGAACGCUGGCGGCGUGCUUAACACAUGCAAGUCGAGCGAUUUAGAUAUUCAACACUGAGCACUUAGUUGAUAGUUAGUAGAAAUUAGACAGCGUCAAGGACGAAAGAAGAGAGUCCUUCACGCGUUAAUAAAGUUUGCUAACACAUUAGACAAAAGACUAAGUAUUGAGUGUUGAAUAUCUGAAUAGCGGCGGACGGGUGAGUAACGCGUGGGAAACCUGCCCUAUACAGGGGGAUAGCCUCGGGAAACUGGGAUUAAUACCCCAUAAAGCUCUAAUACCGCAUGGUAUGUGAGUCAAAACUCCGGUGGUAUAGGAUGGUCCCGCGUCUGAUUAGCUAGUUGGUGAGGUAAUGGCUCACCAAGGCGACGAUCAGUAGCCGGCCUGAGAGGGUGAACGGCCACACUGGAACUGAGACACGGUCCAGACUCCUACGGGAGGCAGCAGUGGGGAAUAUUGCACAAUGGGCGAAAGCCUGAUGCAGCGACGCCGCGUGAGCGAUGAAGGCCUUCGGGUCGUAAAGCUCUGUCCUAAGGGAAGAUAAUGACGGUACCUUAGGAGGAAGCCCCGGCUAACUACGUGCCAGCAGCCGCGGUAAUACGUAGGGGGCGAGCGUUAUCCGGAAUUAUUGGGCGUAAAGGGUGCGUAGGCGGCCUUGUGUGUCAGGUGUGAAAGGCUACGGCUCAACCGUAGUUAGCACUUGAAACUGCAGGGCUUGAGUGCAGGAGAGGAGAGUGGAAUUCCUAGUGUAGCGGUGAAAUGCGUAGAUAUUAGGAGGAACACCAGUGGCGAAGGCGACUCUCUGGACUGUAACUGACGCUGAGGCACGAAAGCGUGGGGAGCGAACAGGAUUAGAUACCCUGGUAGUCCACGCCGUAAACGAUGAGUACUAGGUGUUGGGGUCGACAGGCUUCAGUGCCGCAGUUAACACAUUAAGUACUCCGCCUGGGGAGUACGGUCGCAAGACUGAAACUCAAAGGAAUUGACGGGGGCCCGCACAAGCAGCGGAGCAUGUGGUUUAAUUCGACGCAACGCGAAGAACCUUACCAGGGCUUGACAUCCCUUGGACGAAACUAGAGAUAGUUUUUUCCCUUCGGGGNNNNNNNNNNNNNNNNNNNNNGGACUAAGGUGACAGGUGGUGCAUGGUUGUCGUCAGCUCGUGUCGUGAGAUGUUGGGUUAAGUCCCGCAACGAGCGCAACCCUUGCCUUUAGUUGCCAGCAGGUUAAGCUGGGCACUCUAGAGGGACUGCCGGUGACAAACCGGAGGAAGGUGGGGAUGACGUCAAAUCAUCAUGCCCCUUAUGUCCUGGGCUACACACGUGCUACAAUGGCCGGUACAACGGGCAGCGAACCCGCAAGGGGGAGCGAAUCCCUAUAAGCCGGUCCCAGUUCGGAUUGUGGGCUGCAACUCGCCCACAUGAAGUUGGAGUUGCUAGUAAUCGCGAAUCAGAAUGUCGCGGUGAAUGCGUUCCCGGGCCUUGUACACACCGCCCGUCACACCACGAGAGUUGGUAACACCCGAAGCCAGUGAGCUAACCUUUUGGAGGCAGCUGUCGAAGGUGGGAUUAAUGAUUGGGGUGAAGUCGUAACAAGGUAGCCGUAUCGGAAGGUGCGGCUGGAUCACCUCCUUUCUA